AGUCAAUAAAUGCAUACCUUUCAGUCCUUGUGAGAGAUCACAAUCUAAAGAACACCCAGAAGGCAGCAUUAAUCGAUUCUUUUGCAAUGACAGCAAUUUGGAAUCGUAGGUCCCAAAGACUUAAGAUUAAACCCCUGGACUACGACAUAAUUGUGGGAGUUAUCAACGAGCAUCACCACUGGACUCUUGCGGUAAUCUACCCACAUGAAAAAAAAUCCCUGUUCCUUGAUCCAAUGGGGGAGUCGAAGCAAGGCAUCCAAAGAUGUUUGGAAACAACAAGAGCCUUCAUGCGGAAGAAGGGCUGCCAAGUCUCAAGGUGGAAGUGUGAUACUGUCCCACAUCCAAACCAGCCAGACGUUACCUCAUGUGGAGUCUUUGUUUUGAAAUUUGCAGAAAAACUGUUGGAAAAACAAACUGUAGAUUUCCCAUCGACAAAACAAGACAUCAACACACACAGGAUGAAAAUUGCAGUCACACUCCUCCUUGAGACUGAUGACCUGACAGACAUAUGCUUUUCCUGUGGGGAAGAAGAGCGAGAGACAGAAAUCAACUGGAUUCAGUGUGAGGCCUGUUUGAGGUGGUUCCAUCAUGUCUGCGUCGAAGGUCCACCAAUAGACCAAGUCUUCCUGUGUGUUGCGUGUGUGUGAUAAUUAACAGUGCCUCAUGUAUAUAGUUCAGGAAAUGUGUUCUGUUGCUUUUAAGUUAUGUUCAUGUACAGUGAGAGUGUUGUUUUCAUUGAAGUUUUUUUUUUUUUCACUUAAUUUAUUUCAACUUUUAGUUUGUAAAGAAAAUGUAUGUAACUUCACAACCCACCCCAAGUAGAAAAUGUUCAUUGUUCAUUGUCCUUUCUACAGAAUAAAUAUUUGAUCCUUUUCAGGUGGCUAUACAAUACCUUAGCCAAAAUUAAACACAAUGUGCCUACUGGUCUUGGUAUUUUUCUUUUUGUAAGUCUUUCUCUUGUUAUUCUGAGAAAAAUGUUUGGUCUCCAGUAUUAUCAGGCUUGAUCAGAAAUGACCACAAAAUAAAUGUUAGGAUGGUAGUUAAAGAUUUGACCCGUUUGAAGGGGGGAUACAGAUUUUUGCAGGCAGGCCAGAUAUGGGCUGAAAUAAUUUGUACCCCCCCGUAACUUAGGAUAGAAAUGAGCUAGUCCAUUCAAAGUCUCCAGUAUUGUCAGGCUUGAUCAGAAAUGACCACAAAAUAAAUGUUAGGAUGGUAGUUAAAGAUUUGACCCGUUUGAAGGGGGGAUACAGAUUUUUGCAGGCAGGCCAGAUAUGGGCUGAAAUAAUUUGUACCCCCCCGUAACUUAGGAUAGAAAUGAGCUAGUCCAUUCAAAGUCUCCAGUAUUAUCAGGCUUGAUCAGAAAUGACCACAAAAUAAAUGUUAGGAUGGUAGUUAAAGA